ACGCACGCUGGCGGCGUGCCUAAUACAUGCAAGUAGAACGCUGAAGAGAGGAGCUUGCUCUUCUUGGAUGAGUUGCGAACGGGUGAGUAACGCGUAGGUAACCUGCCUGGUAGCGGGGGAUAACUAUUGGAAACGAUAGCUAAUACCGCAUAAAAUGGAUUAUCGCAUGAUAAUCCAUUGAAAGGUGCAAAUGCAUCACUACCAGAUGGACCUGCGUUGUAUUAGCUAGUUGGUGGGGUAACGGCUCACCAAGGCGACGAUACAUAGCCGACCUGAGAGGGUGAUCGGCCACACUGGGACUGAGACACGGCCCAGACUCCUACGGGAGGCAGCAGUAGGGAAUCUUCGGCAAUGGACGGAAGUCUGACCGAGCAACGCCGCGUGAGUGAAGAAGGUUUUCGGAUCGUAAAGCUCUGUUGUAAGAGAAGAACGAGUGUGAGAGUGGAAAGUUCACACUGUGACGGUAUCUUACCAGAAAGGGACGGCUAACUACGUG
rnacentral:rRNA from 1 species